GAAACUCUGAUGCAGCGACGCCGCGUGAGCGAAGAAGGCUUUCGAGUCGUAAAGCUCUGUCCUAAGAGAAGAAGAAGUGACGGUAACUUAGGAGGAAGCCCCGGCUAACUACGUGCCAGCAGCCGCGGUAAUACGUAGGGGGCUAGCGUUGUCCGGAAUUACUGGGCGUAAAGGGUGAGUAGGUGGUCAUUAAAGUCAGAUGUAAAAGGCAAUGGCUCAACCAUUGUAAGCAUUUGAAACUUAAUGACUUGAGUGCAGGAGAGGUAAAUGGAAUUCCUAGUGUAGCGGUGAAAUGCGUAGAUAUUAGGAAGAACACCAGUGGCGAAGGCGAUUUACUGGACUGUAACUGACACUGAGUCACGAAAGCGUGGGGAGCGAACAGGAUUAGAUACCCUGGUAGUCC
rnacentral:rRNA from 1 species